UACGUAGGGUGCAAGCGUUGUCCGGAAUUAUUGGGCGUAAAGAGCUUGUAGGCGGUUUGUCGCGUCUGCUGUGAAAUUUCGGGGCUCAACCCCGAACUUGCAGUGGGUACGGGCAGGCUAGAGUGUGGUAGGGGAGACUGGAAUUCCUGGUGUAGCGGUGAAAUGCGCAGAUAUCAGGAGGAACACCAAUGGCGAAGGCAGCUCGCUGGAACGGUACUGACGCUGAGGCGCGAAAGCGUGGGGAGCGAACAGG
rnacentral:rRNA from 1 species